rnacentral:lncRNA from 1 species
GAAUGAUCAAGAACUUGCUAACAGGGUGUGACUAUAGACCCAGAAUGGUGGUAAUUAUGGUUUCCAUUCAGCUGUAACAGCUGAGAAUCCAGUAACAUGGAGGUUUCCAUUCUGGGCAUGACCAGAUUUUAUUUGGAGGAAUAAAAUGAAAAAUACAUGUUCUCAUGGUGUUUAUAAAAUAAUUGCAAGUCACAAGGGUUGUAGACAGGUGCUGCAUUUGCUGUGGGUCUAUGUGCACAGCAUUAUGGGUUAUUAUCAAAGGAGAAGCUACAGUGUUGGUUUUCAGGAUCCAUCUAUCUUUUGUAUGAGCAUUUUAGGAGAGCUUCAAGCAUUAUGUCUUGGGAAGACCCACAUGUGGCAUUAG